GUCGGCGUGAUAAUCAUGUUGUGCCGUUGGGCUGAGGUCUCAGUCCACCGCUUACAAUGGUCUCUGGACGAUGAUUGAAACACUUGACCUCAAAUCAGGUAGGACUACCCGCUGAACUUAAGCAUAUCAAUAAGCGGAGGAAAAGAAACUAACAAGGAUUCCCCUAGUAACUGCGAGUGAAGCGGGAAAAGCUCAAAUUUAAAAUCUGGCGGUCUCUGGCCGUCCGAGUUGUAAUCUGGAGAAGCGUUUUCUGCGUCGGACCGUGUACAAGUUUUCUGGAAUGAAACGUCAUAGAGGGUGAGAAUCCCGUCUUUGACAUGGACUACCGAUGCUAUGUGAUACGCUCUCGAAGAGUCGAGUUGUUUGGGAAUGCAGCUCAAAAUGGGUGGUAAAUUCCAUCUAAAGCUAAAUAUUGGCGAGAGACCGAUAGCGAACAAGUACCGUGAGGGAAAGAUGAAAAGCACUUUGGAAAGAGAGUUAAACAGUACGUGAAAUUGUUGAAAGGGAAACGUUUGAAGCCAGUCGCGUCAGCCGAGACUCAACCUUACUUUAUGUUUGGUGCACUUCUCGGUGGACGGGUCAACAUCAAUUUUGGUCGUCAGAUAAAGGCCUGGGGAAUGUGGCAUCUCUCGGGAUGUGUUAUAGCCCUGGGUU
rnacentral:rRNA from 1 species